UACGAAGGGGGCUAGCGUUGUUCGGAAUUACUGGGCGUAAAGCGCACGUAGGCGGAUUUGCCAGUCAGGGGUGAAAUCCCGGGGCUCAACCUCGGAACUGCCUUCGAUACUGGAAGUCUUGAGUCCGGGAGAGGUGAGUGGAACUCCGAGUGUAGAGGUGAAAUUCGUAGAUAUUCGGAAGAACACCAGUGGCGAAGGCGGCUCACUGGCCCGGUACUGACGCUGAGAUACGAAAGCGUGGGGAGCAAACAGG
rnacentral:rRNA from 1 species